rnacentral:rRNA from 1 species
AUUGAACGCUGGCGGCAGGCCUAACACAUGCCAGUCGAGCGGAGCGGCGGACGGGUGUGUAAUGCCUAGGAAUAUGCCUGGUAGCGGGGGAUAAGGUCCGGCAACGGGAGCUAUUACAGCAUAACAUCCGAUGCGCGUAGGCCGGAUUAGCAAGUGGGUGGGGUAAAGGCCGACCAAGUCAGCGAUCCGUAACUGGUCUGAGAGGAUGAUCAGUCACACUGGAACUGCGACACGGUCCAGACUCCUACGGGAGGCAGCAGUGGGGAAUAUUGGACAAUUGGCGAAAGCCUGAUCCAGCCAUGCCGCGUGUGUGAAGAAGGUCUUCGGAUUGUAAAGCACUUUAAGUUGGGAGGCGUUACCAACAGAAUAAGCACCGGCUAACUUCAUGCCAGCAGCCGCGGUAAUUC